ACGAACGCUGGCGGCGUGCCUAAUACAUGCAAGUAGAACGCUGAAGAGAGGAGCUUGCUCUUCUUGGAUGAGUUGCGAACGGGUGAGUAACGCGUAGGUAACCUGCCUUGUAGCGGGGGAUAACUAUUGGAAACGAUAGCUAAUACCGCAUAACAAUGGAUGACACAUGUCAUUUAUUUGAAAGGGGCAAUUGCUCCACUACAAGAUGGACCUGCGUUGUAUUAGCUAGUAGGUGAGGUAAUGGCUCACCUAGGCGACGAUACAUAGCCGACCUGAGAGGGUGAUCGGCCACACUGGGACUGAGACACGGCCCAGACUCCUACGGGAGGCAGCAGUAGGGAAUCUUCGGCAAUGGGGGCAACCCUGACCGAGCAACGCCGCGUGAGUGAAGAAGGUUUUCGGAUCGUAAAGCUUUGUUGUAAGUCAAGAACGGGUGUGAGAGUGGAAAGUUCACACUGUGACGGUAGCUUACCAGAAAGGGACGGCUAACUACGUGCCAGCAGCCGCGGUAAUACGUAGGUCCCGAGCGUUGUCCGGAUUUAUUGGGCGUAAAGCGAGCGCAGGCGGUUUGAUAAGUCUGAAGUUAAAGGCUGUGGCUCAACCAUAGUUCGCUUUGGAAACUGUCAAACUUGAGUGCAGAAGGGGAGAGUGGAAUUCCAUGUGUAGCGGUGAAAUGCGUAGAUAUAUGGAGGAACACCGGUGGCGAAAGCGGCUCUCUGGUCUGUAACUGACGCUGAGGCUCGAAAGCGUGGGGAGCGAACAGGAUUAGAUACCCUGGUAGUCCACGCCGUAAACGAUGAGUGCUAGGUGUUGGAUCCUUUCCGGGAUUCAGUGCCGCAGCUAACGCAUUAAGCACUCCGCCUGGGGAGUACGACCGCAAGGUUGAAACUCAAAGGAAUUGACGGGGGCCCGCACAAGCGGUGGAGCAUGUGGUUUAAUUCGAAGCAACGCGAAGAACCUUACCAGGUCUUGACAUCCUUUGACCACUCUAGAGAUAGAGCUUCCCCUUCGGGGGCAAAGUGACAGGUGGUGCAUGGUUGUCGUCAGCUCGUGUCGUGAGAUGUUGGGUUAAGUCCCGCAACGAGCGCAACCCCUAUUGUUAGUUGCCAUCAUUCAGUUGGGCACUCUAGCGAGACUGCCGGUAAUAAACCGGAGGAAGGUGGGGAUGACGUCAAAUCAUCAUGCCCCUUAUGACCUGGGCUACACACGUGCUACAAUGGUUGGUACAACGAGUUGCGAGUCGGUGACGGCGAGCUAAUCUCUUAAAGCCAAUCUCAGUUCGGAUUGUAGGCUGCAACUCGCCUACAUGAAGUCGGAAUCGCUAGUAAUCGCGGAUCAGCACGCCGCGGUGAAUACGUUCCCGGGCCUUGUACACACCGCCCGUCACACCACGAGAGUUUGUAACACCCGAAGUCGGUGAGGUAACCUUUUGGAGCCAGCCGCCUAAGGUGGGACAGAUGAUUGGGGUG
rnacentral:rRNA from 1 species